UCUUAGACGGGCUUGGGCUUUUCUUACUCCACGUCUGAGGUCUGAGCAUGAAUGGUCUGACUUUUCAGUGGUUUUUUUUUUUCAGUUGCUGCCUUGUGGAGCCUUAGGCUAUGAUUUGAAAUGUUGUUUUGCAGCUCAAUUAUCAGAAAUCCACUGACCUUCAGGGGAAACUUGAACAAGUUCCGUGAAGACCCCCGAUGUCGCUAGCAUGAGUCUUUGAGUUUCUUGAUGUGUUUGUCUUUACCUUGAAGCAGCUCUCAUGUUGCCCUAUCUCAUCGAUGACUUUAAGGCAUUUUCCCUUCUUACCCAUCAAUUCCUCGGUGGAAGCUUCGCCUCCUGAUCAGAGGCAGUGUUUGUGGCAUUUUUCCACAUGAUCCUUGCAGAUGCAACACCCAAAAAGACAGAAUCCUGCUCCAGAAUUACGUGCUCUUUCCUCCCCACCAUACCACCGCUAUGAUGCUUUUUAAUGUCUAGUGCAUGUAAGCCUUUAGGAAGGAGCCAGGGAUUAUAAAGAAAUGAGGAGUGUUGUGCUUAGGCAGCUUGAUUUAGAGGUUGGGUUGGAACCACAACCUCUAGAUUUAAAUUCCAGGGCUGACAUGCACCCCAAUAUUCAUAGAAGCACUAUAGAAUAGUUCAGUCCAGCUCUCACGAGAGUUGGACUAUAAAGAAAACUGGAUCUGGAAAAACUGAUGCUUUUGAACUGUGGUUUUGGAGAAGACUCUUGAGAAGCCCUUGGACUGCAAGGAGAUCUAAUCAGUCGAUCCUGAAUGAAAUCAGUCCUGAAUAUUCAUUGGAAGGACUGAUACUGAAGCUGAAACUCCAAUACUUCUGGCCACCUGAUGUGAAGAACUGACUCAUUGGAAAAGACCCUGAUGCUGGGAAAGAUUGAAGGCAGGAGGAGAAGGGGACGACAGAGGAUGAGAUGGUUGGAUGGCAUCACCGACUCAAAGGACGUAAGUUUUAGCAAGCUCUGGGAGUUGGUGAUGGACAGGGAAGCCUGGAAUGCUGCAGUCCAUGGGGUCAUAAAGAGUCAGACACGACUGAACAACUGAACUGAACUGGACUGAACUACUUGCAAUAAUCAAGACGUGGAAACCACUCAAGUGCCCAUCAACAGACAACUGGCUUAAGAAGUGCACACACACAUGUGCACACAGACACAGUAGGAUGUUACUCAGCUGUAAAAAAAGAUACUGCCAUUUUAGCAACAUGGAUGGAACUAGAGUAUGCUAUACUUUGUGAAGUCAGACAAAGACAAAUACUGUAGAAUGU
ensembl:lncRNA